rnacentral:rRNA from 1 species
AGUCGGGAAUCUUGGGCAAUGGGCGAAAGCCUGACCCAGCAACGCCGCGUGAGGGAUGAAGUCCUUCGGGAUGUAAACCUCGUAAGCAUGGGAAGAAUAAAUGACGGUACCAUGCGUAAGCCCCGGCUAACUACGUGCCAGCAGCCGCGGUAAUACGUAGGGGGCUAGCGUUGUUCGGAUUUACUGGGCGUAAAGCGCGUGUAGGCGGUACAUUAAGUCAGCUGUUAAAUUCCCGAGCUUAACUCGGGAAAGUCGGCUGAUACUGAUGUGCUAGAGUGCAGAAGAGGCAACUGAAAUUCUCGGUGUAGCGGUGAAAUGCGUAGAUAUCGAGAGGAACACCGGAGGCGAAGGCGAGUUGCUGGUCUGACACUGACGCUGAGACGCGAAAGCUAGGGGAGCAAA